AGACGACAAACUGGAUGAAACUUUAAGUCUCGUUCAGGUAGUGUGUAAAUCAAAAAUUCGAUGGGACUCGCAUCCGUCGUCCUCGCGCGGUCUUUCGUCCCGAUAUCCAGAAGCAGAGUUUGAAAAACUCUAGCGACGGCACGGGUGUCCGACUCACGACAACGAGGAAAGACAGCCGGUCCCCUCUGAACGGUAUAUUAUAUGAAACUUUAAGUCUCGUUCAGGUAGUGUGUAAAUAAAAAAUUCGAUGGGACUCGCAUCCGUUGUCCUCGCGCGGUCUUUCGUCCCGAUAUCCAGAAGCAGAGUUUGAAAAACUCUAGCGACGGCACGGGUCUCCGACUCACGACAACGAGGAAAGACAGCCGGUCCCCUCUGAACGGUAUAUUAUAUGAAACUUUAAGUCUCGUUCAGGUAGUGUGUAAAUAAAAAAUUCGAUGGGACUCGCAUCCGUCGUCCUCGCGCGGUCUUUCGUCCCGAUAUCCAGAAGCAGAGUUUGAAAAACUCUAGCGACGGCACGGGUGUCCGACUCACGACAACGAGGAAAGACAGCCGGUCCCCUCUGAACGGUAUAUUAUAUGAAACUUUAAGUCUCGUUCAGGUAGUGUGUAAGUCAAAAAUUCGAUGGGACUCGCAUCCGUCGUCCUCGCGCGGUCUUUCGUCCCGAUAUCCAGAAGCAGAGUUUGAAAAACUCUAGCGACGGCACGGGUGUCCGACUCACGACAACGAGGAUAGACAGCCGGUCCCCUCUGAACGGUAUAUAAUAUGAAACUUUAAGUCUCGUUCAGGUAGUGUGUAAGUCAAAAAUUCGAUGGGACUCGCAUCCGUCGUCCUCGCGCGGUCUUUCGUCCCGAUAUCCAGAAGCAGA